GACGAACGCUGGCGGCGUGCCUAAUACAUGCAAGUCGAGCGCAGGAAGCCGUCUGAACCCUUCGGGGGGACGACGGUGGAAUGAGCGGCGGACGGGUGAGUAACACGUAAAGAACCUGCCCAUAGGUCUGGGAUAACCACGAGAAAUCGGGGCUAAUACCGGAUGUGUCAUCGGACCGCAUGGUCCGCUGAUGAAAGGCGCUCCGGCGUCGCCCACGGAUGGCUUUGCGGUGCAUUAGCUAGUUGGUGGGGUAACGGCCCACCAGGGCGACGAUGCAUAGCCGACCUGAGAGGGUGAUCGGCCACACUGGGACUGAGACACGGCCCAGACUCCUACGGGAGGCAGCAGUAGGGAAUCUUCCACAAUGGACGAAAGUCUGAUGGAGCAACGCCGCGUGAACGAUGAAGGCUUUCGGGUCGUAAAGUUCUGUUGUAAGGGAAGAACAAGUGCCGCAGGCAAUGGCGGCACCUUGACGGUACCUUGCGAGAAAGCCACGGCUAACUACGUGCCAGCCGCCGCGGUAAUAC
rnacentral:rRNA from 1 species